GGCAAGGUGGCCGAGUGGUUAAGGCGCUAGUUUUAGGCACUAGUGGGAAACCUCGCGGUAAGUUCCAAUUACAAUACCCUUUCCGGAAGACUGUAUCUAAUAAUCACCCAGAGUUCGAAUCUCGUCCUUGUCA